rnacentral:rRNA from 1 species
GUGAAGGAAGAAGGUUUUCGGAUUGUAAACUUCUUUUAUUAAGGACGAAACAAUGACGGUACUUAAUGAAUAAGCUCCGGCUAACUACGUGCCAGCAGCCGCGGUAAUACGUAGGGAGCAAGCGUUGUCCGGAUUUACUGGGUGUAAAGGGUGCGUAGGCGGCUAUGCAAGUCAGAUGUGAAAUCUAUGGGCUCAACCCAUAGCCUGCAUUUGAAACUGUGUAGCUUGAGUGAAGUAGAGGUAGGCGGAAUUCCCCGUGUAGCGGUGAAAUGCGUAGAGAUGGGGAGGAACACCAGUGGCGAAGGCGGCCUACUGGGCUUUAACUGACGCUGAGGCACGAAAGCGUGGGUAGCAAACAGGAUUAGAUACCCUGGUAGUCCACGCUGUAAACGAUGAUUACUAGGUGUGGGGGGUCUGACCCCUUCCGUGCCGGAGUUAACACAAUAAGUAAUCCACCUGGGGAGUACGGCCGCAAGGUUGAAACUCAAAAGAAUUGACGG